CCUGACUGACAUGACCUGUGAUCCAGUGAUUGACAGGAGAGGAAAGACAGUCCAACUUUGUUAACUCUUCGUUACGAUAUGCUCGAGAGGACAAAAUAUUUUGCACCUCGUUAUUGUUGGACCUCUGUGUGGAAACUGCAAACGGGACGUCAUAAGGUAAUGCAAAGGACUCUCCUACCUAACAUACUCGUUUAUUAAUUCUUAAGAGCAUAUAUAUUUUUUGUGUGUGUGUGGGAGGGGGCUUAAAAUCGGUGUUAGCUUGGUCGAAAUAGCACAUUAGCUGAAUUAUUCUGGAAAAAAAUAGGUUGUGUGUGUUUUUUUCUUUUCUUAUUUAAAUAUAUAUUUAGAUAUAUAUUUUCCACGGGGAGGGGCGAAGAACACGGGCGCAACGACAGUCUUUGUCUUUUUCCCGCCGAGUGUGGUGCAUUGUCCUCCUGCGCUUCUGUUCUAUGACUAUUGAGAAGCUGGCCACGCUAACAGUGGGACAUUUAGCUUCAGCUAAAGCAGCAGGUAAAAAUACACAUUUAAUGAGAAUAAAGAAAGACAACUUUUUUUUUUGGAAAUUUAGAGACUGCUAAAACAAUCUUAUCCAGUUUUGAGCUUGCUCAUGUAGGUUAGCCUGCUUUAUUUAAUUUUGUGUGAGCUGCAGUACACAACAUUAAAAAGUUAAUAUAAGAUUAGGUUGGUGGCGCGAGGAACUCCAACCUAAGUUUAAUAUUUAUUAUUUUUUUAAGUGGGAAGGGGAGCAUGUUUUUUUUCCUUUAAUACAACGUCUUCCAGGGUCUUUUUCAUAGGAAAACCGUGUAACGUCUGUGUUAGGUUGGUCAAAAGAGCAAUUAGUUGAAUUAUUCUUGAAAAGAUGGGUUGUGUGUUUUUUUUUCUUUUAUUUACUUAUGUAAAUAUAUUUUUCAAGGGUUAAAUAAAUGCAACAUUAAAUUAAUUGUCUCUCUGUCUUUUCCCGCCCAGUGUGGUGCAUUGCUGUCCUCCUGCCCUUGCUGGCUGCGCUGAGUGUGAUGUAGCCUCAGUGUUUGUGUUUUAAAGGCUUUUUCCACCAAGAUGUCUGUUGAGAGAGAGAUGACCUUACCCAUCACACCAAGGGGAAUAAUUUCAUGUCUGCAAGCCGCUGGAUGAUCAGUUUGGAGGGCAAGGUAUUUUAUGAGCCUGAGCAGAUGCAUGACUUUGCCAGCACCCUUGCUGUCUUCUUUGCGUCAUACUACGUUUUCAACCUUGAGUAUCAGG
ensembl:lncRNA